rnacentral:lncRNA from 1 species
AGACCCCCUUUCCCAGGACUGCCUUGGCCCCCUGGCCCCAGUCUGGAGGACUCUUGCUCACUUCCUCCGCCCCCAGGUGAGCUGAGAACCCACUGCGCGCGGGACUCUGCUGCGCCUGCCCUCCCGGGCUGCAGAGGGCAGGACGCACCGCCAGGCAAGGCCGCGGCUCUGCGCUGAUGCCACUCCGGGAGCGGGUGGCUGCGGGGGAGGAGGGCGAGCACUGGACGGGGGCAGCGGAGUGUAGGGUGUGAGAUCUAAACAGAGGGCUCCACUGGAGGGCUUGCCCAGAAGGCGGCAGUCACACUGGGCCAAGCAGGAUGACUGGCAGGAAGAAAAGAUGAGGGAUGAAUCCCAGACCUCUAGUCCACUGAGAGUGUCCAAAGACAUCCGUUCAAUAGAUACAUACUGAGUGUUAACUUUGUGCCAAACAUUGGACUGUGCACCAGGGAUACCCAAGAGAGUCCAAGAGGCACAGCCCUGUCUUCCUGGAGCUCCCAGUCGAAGGGUAGACAGAAUUCUGCCCGACACACACACACUCAAGGCUUCAUCAGGGAUAAAGGCCAGGAACCGGCUUUGCCCCAGGAGAAGGUAGGAGGAGGGCUGUGCUGAUGAUGGAGGGUCCAGAGAACCUUCCUGCUGUUGAGCCUCCAGAUGUCCCAAGGCAAUCCUGUUUCCACCCAAGGGCAGUGCUUAAGGGUCCUCUCUCCUGAGAGCUUGUUUCCCUUUUGAGUGGCUGCCUAGCCUGAGUGUCAGUAGGGCAAGAUUGGCCCUCACCCACUAGCCUGUAGAACUCCAAACACUACCCCCUCCCUUCUUCUAAUGCAGAUUCCCCUGCAGGCUCUGGGGUCUGACAGGUCUGGGGCACUCCUUUAGGUGCCACUCAGGGAAACAGAAGGGGAGGGCCUCAGUAGCUCCCACUUCUUUUCCAGCCCACAUUUGGAAGCAACCGGCACCCACGCAGGUUCUGGAACUUGCCAAGGUUCCAGGGGUUGAGCCCACUCCAUCCUGUCCAAAGGCAGAAGCCUCCUCCAAGUCCUGCACGAUCCGCCCUCUAACAUGCAAGCCCAUCUGGAACCUCUGGAAUCCUACUGGGCUUCUUCGCUCCCUAAAGUUUACAGACCCAGGGCAAAAUAGGGAACUGCAAAUCCAAGUGGCCCAGAGGUCUCUCCACCCCCACUCUGCCCUCUCUGGGCCUGAGCCUGACAGGAGAUUCCCAGCACAUCUGGUUGUACUUAAAUCAUCCAGCACUACUGGAGUAGGUUCCCUGCUUCUCUCCCUUCAGCCCCAGCCUCCUCCCCUUCCUACACCAGCCUUCCAGGUCUCUCCUCCAGGAUGCCUUCCCUAACUCAUCCAGCCUCGGUAUCUGCACCCCACCCUUGAACCUCCACCUCUUUGGGUCUGGAGUCUGCCAGGGUGUGGAAGGGAGGGUGUGUGCUCCGCAAGACUCAGUGUGUAGAAUCUCAUCCUUCCCGAGCAUUGGUCCUAGAUAGAAACCUUCCCUUCAGGUAAGGAAGGGAGCCAGCCAAGAGCCUCCCCUCUGCUCCCUUGGCCUCAGGGGUGGCUGUCUCCAGUUAUGGGUGUGUACAGUGGGGAGGAACAAGUUCAGAUCCAGGCAGAGCCAUUCCUUUGGCAACUCUUGCUGUCAGCCAUCUUCCAAAGAGCUUUGCAAAAUGUUAAAGAACAAAAGAGAAAUAAAUACAGAGAAUAUAGCAAGUAUAAAAAUGCACAGUCUAGGCCAGGCACGGUGGCUCACACCUGUAAUCCUAGCACUUUGGGAGGCUGAGGCAGAUGGAUCACUUGAGGUCAGGAAUUUGAAACCAGCCUGGCCAAGAUGGUGAAACCCCAUCUCUACUAAAAAUACAAAAAUUAGCCAGGUGUGGUGGCGGGCACCUGUAGUCCCAGCUAUUUGGGAGGCUGAGGCAGAAGAAUUACUUGAACCCCGGAAGUGGAGGUUGUAGUGAGCCAAGAUCACACCACUGCACCCCAGCCUGGCUGACAAAGCAAGAUUCUGUCUCAAAAAAAAAAAAAAAAAAAAAAAAGAAUGCACGGACUCUAAAGAACAAGUUUGUAACCUACCAUGACCUGCUCCACCAGGGCUCCAGGUUUGAAUGUUCAUUCAUUCUUUUAUUCAAUAGCAUGUACUGAUGCCUGAGUCUACUAAGUUCUAGGAACAGUGACUCAAGUAAGAUCCCAGGGUCAGUGGGGGACAGGAACAGGUGGAUGAACAAAUGCUGCAUGCUGUAAUGGACAUGAGUCAGGGAGACAGAGGGGUGCCAAGGUUGAAGGUCAGAGACCCUGGACUGAAUCCCACCUCUGUCACUUUCUGCACUGUCUCUGGGGAGCCACUUAAUCUUGGGGAGCCUGUCUCCCCACCUGGAAAAGGACGAUGAUGUGACCUCACAGGGUCGUAGUGGGACUCAAAUAAGAUAAUGUGUGUGAAAACGCCUUGCAAAGUGCUAAGUGAGUUGUUGCUAUUAUGAUUAGGCUCAGGGGCUGCCUAUCUGACACUCAUUUUUCUAAUGCCUCAACAGCUGUCUCUCUUACCCUCCCAGGGCAGGUACCACGUUGGAGAAACUUCUGAGGGUGAAGGACACCCACCCUAGAGUAGUGGGCAGUUAAGCUGCCCGCAUAGACACACACACACACACUUUAGUUACACAAGCAGAACACCUUUUUAUAAAAAUUCGAAAGGCAUCAUGUGCCUACAGCCUCAGUUACUCAGGAGGCCGAGGCAAGAGGAUUGCAUGAGUCCUGGGCAACAGAGUGAAACCCAUUUCUACUAUUUAAAAAACACUAAUAAGAAAAAAUAGAUAAGCAGAAAACAAAAAAAUUAAAAAUCCAACGCCUUUAAUCCCACCACCCAGAGAUAACCACCAGUAAUAUGUUGGAGUCAGUUAGCCGGUCACAGUGGUGGGGGGCCUGUGGUCCCAGCUACUCGGGAGACUAAGGUGGGAGGAUUGCUUGAGCCAGGGAGAUUGAGGCUGCAGUGAGCCGUGAUUGCGCCAAUGCACUCCACCCUGGGCAACAAAGCAAGACCCCAUUUCAAAACAAAACAAACAAAAAACCAUUUUGGAGUCAGC